rnacentral:lncRNA from 1 species
CUUUAACAGCCGUAGUUCUUUGAUGAGUUAUUUUUCCCCCUUUUUCUCUGCUUCUGUACUUAAAGAGCACUGGUGGUUUGUAAUGCUCCAGGCAUGGUUCUGUAAAGAUAUGACAAAACUGAAACUCCCUUACAGCGAUAUGAUUUAUAGCAUGUAUCAUAAAAAGCUAUCUGGCCAGACUGGAUCAUUGAGGAUAAGAUGCAGCAGGAGAGCUAUAUGGAUAGUCCUCUAGAAAUAGAUGCAGUAAAAAACUGCCCAUCUGCAGAUGGUUUCACCCUGACUUCAAGCUUCAAAUUCCCCCAUUAACCAGCAGGCCAAGCCUACCAAAACUAUCCAUCAAUGAAAACAGCCACCAUGAGGCUCUCUGAUGAAACUGGCAGUGUCUUAAACAAGUUGAAAGGGUAAAAAUACACUAUACCUGUGGCCUUAAAUAAAAUAACGUGUGUACA